rnacentral:misc_RNA from 1 species
AGUUUGUGUUCAUGUGUUGUGUUUGUAAGAAACUUCGCCUCGAAAUUUCAGGUAGGAAAAUAUACAGGUCAUUGACGCGACAAGAGGUAUAGAGGAAGUAAUAUAGAGGGUGACAGACGGGCCGUUAACAGGGCCGUUACAGCUUCAAGUGAUAUAUGAGCUGCGAAGUGGCUUGGUGCCUGUCACUUCAGUUCCGCUACCGCACCGCGCCUGCAAAAAGAUAAAAAGGAUUCCGAAAUUCGUUUCACAAGUGGGCUGGCGGAAAUGGAUAGGAAUUUACCGGGUACGGCUUUUUAUGUCGGUCAAUAGAUCCAACGUUUCGCUAUCCAAUCUCAACUCUAUAUCGAGUAAUGUCCCUCGCUUAAUUUCUGCUAUCUUAACUCAUCAAGCGAAGUAAAUGAAAUAGGUACGGUUCUAUGGUUGUCGGAAAUGAUGAUAAUAUGUUUAGUUUGAUAAUAAUGUGAACUGUCGAUUCCUGAAAUACUAGGUAGUACAAAAGUUUUUUUUUUCUGAUAAUAAAAUGAAAAUAAAAGGCUAAGGAAAUGUUUUAGCUCGGAAAAGGAAAAAG